UGGGGCGGUCUCCUCCUAAAGAGUAACGGAGGAGCACGAAGGUUGGCUAAUCCUGGUCGGACAUCAGGAGGUUAGUGCAAUGGCAUAAGCCAGCUUGACUGCGAGCGUGACGGCGCGAGCAGGUGCGAAAGCAGGUCAUAGUGAUCCGGUGGUUCUGAAUGGAAGGGCCAUCGCUCAACGGAUAAAAGGUACUCCGGGGAUAACAGGCUGAUACCGCCCAAGAGUUCAUAUCGACGGCGGUGUUUGGCACCUCGAUGUCGGCUCAUCACAUCCUGGGGCUGAAGUAGGUCCCAAGGGUAUGGCUGUUCGCCAUUUAAAGUGGUACGCGAGCUGGGUUUAGAACGUCGUGAGACAGUUCGGUCCCUAUCUGCCGUGGGCGCUGGAGAACUGAGGGGGGCUGCUCCUAGUACGAGAGGACCGGAGUGGACGCAUCACUGGUGUUCGGGUUGUCAUGCCAAUGGCACUGCCCGGUAGCUAAAUGCGGAAGAGAUAAGUGCUGAAAGCAUCUAAGCACGAAACUUGCCCCGAGAUGAGUUCUCCCUGACCCUUUAAGGGUCCUGAAGGAACGUUGAAGACGACGACGUUGAUAGGCCGGGUGUGUAAGCGCAGCGAUGCGUUGAGCUAACCGGUACUAAUGAACCGUGAGGCUUAACCUUACAACGCCGAAG
rnacentral:rRNA from 1 species